GGUUUACCUGUGUGACUGCGUACCUUUUGUAUAAUGGGUCAGCGACUUAUAUUCUGUAGCAAGGUUAACCGAAUAGGGGAGCCGGAGGGAAACCGAGUCUUAAUUGGGCGUUAAGUUGCAGGGUAUAGACCCGAAACCCGGUGAUCUAGCCAUGGGCAGGUUGAAGGUUGGGUAACACUAACUGGAGGACCGAACCGACUAAUGUUGAAAAAUUAGCGGAUGACCUGUGGCUGGGGGUGAAAGGCCAAUCAAACCGGGAGAUAGCUGGUUCUCCCCGAAAGCUAUUUAGGUAGCGCCUCGUGAAUUCAUCUCCGGGGGUAGAGCACUGUUUCGGCUAGGGGGCCAUCCCGGCUUACCAACCCGAUGCAAACUGCGAAUACCGGAGAAUGUUAUCACGGGAGACACACGGCGGGUGCUAACGUCCGUCGUGAAGAGGGAAACAACCCAGACCGCCAGCUAAGGUCCCAAAGUCAUGGUUAAGUGGGAAACGAUGUGGGAAGGCCCAGACAGCCAGGAUGUUGGCUUAGAAGCAGCCAUCAUUUAAAGAAAGCGUAAUAGCUCACUGGUCGAGUCGGCCUGCGCGGAAGAUGUAACGGGGCUAAACCAUGCACCGAAGCUGCGGCAGCGACGCUGAUGCGUUGUUGGGUAGGGGAGCGUUCUGUAAGCCUGCGAAGGUGGCCUGUGAGGGUUGCUGGAGGUAUCAGAAGUGCGAAUGCUGACAUAAGUAACGAUAAAGCGGGUGAAAAGCCCGCUCGCCGGAAGACCAAGGGUUCCUGUCCAACGUUAAUCGGGGCAGGGUGAGUCGACCCCUAAGGCGAGGCCGAAAGGCGUAGUCGAUGGGAAACGGGUUAAUAUUCCCGUACUUGGUGUUACUGCGAAGGGGGGACGGAGAAGGCUAUGUUGGCCGGGCGACGGUUGUCCCGGUUUAAGCGUGUAGGUGUGUGUUCCAGGUAAAUCCGGUUCACUUUAACACUGAGGCGUGAUGACGAGGCACUACGGUGCUGAAGCAACAAAUGCCCUGCUUCCAGGAAAAGCCUCUAAGCAUCAGGUAACAUCAAAUCGUACCCCAAACCGACACAGGUGGUCAGGUAGAGAAUACCAAGGCGCUUGAGAGAACUCGGGUGAAGGAACUAGGCAAAAUGGUGCCGUAACUUCGGGAGAAGGCACGCUGACACGUAGGUGAAGUGAUUUACUCAUGGAGCUGAAGUCAGUCGAAGAUACCAGCUGGCUGCAACUGUUUAUUAAAAACACAGCACUGUGCAAACACGAAAGUGGACGUAUACGGUGUGACGCCUGCCCGGUGCCGGAAGGUUAAUUGAUGGGGUCAGCGCAAGCGAAGCUCCUGAUCGAAGCCCCGGUAAACGGCGGCCGUAACUAUAACGGUCCUAAGGUAGCGAAAUUCCUUGUCGGGUAAGUUCCGACCUGCACGAAUGGCGUAAUGAUGGCCAGGCUGUCUCCACCCGAGACUCAGUGAAAUUGAACUCGCUGUGAAGAUGCAGUGUACCCGCGGCAAGACGGAAAGACCCCGUGAACCUUUACUAUAGCUUGACACUGAACAUUGAGCCUUGAUGUGUAGGAUAGGUGGGAGGCUUUGAAGUGUGGACGCCAGUCUGCAUGGAGCCGACCUUGAAAUACCACCCUUUAAUGUUUGAUGUUCUAACGUGGACCCGUGAUCCGGGUUGCGGACAGUGUCUGGUGGGUAGUUUGACUGGGGCGGUCUCCUCCUAAAGAGUAACGGAGGAGCACGAAGGUUGGCUAAUCCUGGUCGGACAUCAGGAGGUUAGUGCAAUGGCAUAAGCCAGCUUGACUGCGAGCGUGACGGCGCGAGCAGGUGCGAAAGCAGGUCAUAGUGAUCCGGUGGUUCUGAAUGGAAGGGCCAUCGCUCAACGGAUAAAAGGUACUCCGGGGAUAACAGGCUGAUACCGCCCAAGAGUUCAUAUCGACGGCGGUGUUUGGCACCUCGAUGUCGGCUCAUCACAUCCUGGGGCUGAAGUAGGUCCCAAGGGUAUGGCUGUUCGCCAUUUAAAGUGGUACGCGAGCUGGGUUUAGAACGUCGUGAGACAGUUCGGUCCCUAUCUGCCGUGGGCGCUGGAGAACUGAGGGGGGCUGCUCCUAGUACGAGAGGACCGGAGUGGACGCAUCACUGGUGUUCGGGUUGUCAUGCCAAUGGCACUGCCCGGUAGCUAAAUGCGGAAGAGAUAAGUGCUGAAAGCAUCUAAGCACGAAACUUGCCCCGA
rnacentral:rRNA from 1 species